rnacentral:rRNA from 1 species
AGAGUUUGAUCAUGGCUCAGAACGAACGUUAGCGGCGCGCCUAACACAUGCAAGUCGCACGAGAAGGGGCUUCGGCCCUAGUAAAGUGGCGCACGGGUGAGUAACACGUGGGUAAUGUUCCCUCGGGCGGGGGAUAACCUUCCGAAAGGAGGGCUAAUACCGCAUAUGACCACGGCCUCGAAAGGGGCUGCGGUAAAAGC